GACGAACGCUGGCGGCGUGCUUAACACAUGCAAGUCGAACGGAAAGGCCCUGCUUUUGUGGGGUGCUCGAGUGGCGAACGGGUGAGUAACACGUGAGUAACCUGCCCUUGACUUUGGGAUAACUUCAGGAAACUGGGGCUAAUACCGGAUAGGAGCUCCUGCUGCAUGGUGGGGGUUGGAAAGUUUCGGCGGUUGGGGAUGGACUCGCGGCUUAUCAGCUUGUUGGUGGGGUAGUGGCUUACCAAGGCUUUGACGGGUAGCCGGCCUGAGAGGGUGACCGGCCACAUUGGGACUAAGAUGCGGCCCAGACUCCUACGGGAGGCAGCAGUGGGGAAGAGUGCACAAUGGACGGAAGGCUGAUGCAGCAACGCCGCGUGCGGGAUAACGGCCUUCGGGUUGUAAACCGCUUUCGCCUGUGACGAAGCGUGAGUGACGGUAAUGGGUAAAGAAGCACCGGCUAACUACGUG
rnacentral:rRNA from 1 species